rnacentral:rRNA from 1 species
GACGAACGCUGGCGGCGUGCCUAACACAUGCAAGUCGAGCGGAGGAUUCGAGAUGUUUACAUCGAAGGAUCCUUAGCGGCGGACGGGUGAGUAACACGUGGGUAACCUGCCUCAGAGUGGGGGAUAGCCUUUCGAAAGGAAGAUUAAUACCGCAUAAGAUUGUAGCGUCACAUGGCGCAGCAAGAAAAGGAGCAAUCCGCUUUGAGAUGGACCCGCGGCGCAUUAGCUAGUUGGUGAGGUAACGGCUCACCAAGGCCACGAUGCGUAGCCGACCUGAGAGGGUGAUCGGCCACAUUGGAACUGAGACACGGUCCAGACUCCUACGGGAGGCAGCAGUGGGGAAUAUUGCACAAUGGGCGAAAGCCUGAUGCAGCAACGCCGCGUGAGUGAUGAAGGCC